rnacentral:rRNA from 1 species
UACGUAGGGGGCAAGCGUUGUCCGGAAUCAUUGGGCGUAAAGCGCACGUAGGCGGUCUGUUAUGUCGGAUGUGAAAGCCCUUGGCUCAACUGAGGAAGUGCAUCCGAAACUGGCAGGCUUGAGUACGAAAGAGGAUCGCGGAAUUCCCGGUGUAGAGGUGAAAUUCGUAGAUAUCGGGAGGAACACCGGUGGCGAAGGCGGCGAUCUGGGUCGAUACUGACGCUGAGGUGCGAAAGCGUGGGGAGCAAACAGG